GCACCCGUAGCUCAAUGGAUAGAGCAUCUGACUACGGAUCAGAAGGUUGCACGUUCGACUCGUGCCGGGUGUACCA
rnacentral:tRNA from 1 species